rnacentral:rRNA from 1 species
GAAUUGAGGGGGGCUGCUCCUAGUACGAGAGGACCGGAGUGGACGCAUCACUGGUGUUCGGGUUGUCAUGCCAAUGGCACUGCCCGGUAGCUAAAUGCGGAAGAGAUAAGUGCUGAAAGCAUCUAAGCACGAAACUUGCCCCGAGAUGAGUUCUCCCUGAGACUUUAAGUCUCCUGAAGGAACGUUAAAGACGAUGACGUUGAUAGGCCGGGUGUGUAAGCGCAGCGAUGCGUUGAGCUAACCGGUACUAAUGAACCGUGAGGCUUAACCUUACAACGCCGAAG